rnacentral:lncRNA from 1 species
CAGGCCGCUUUGCGUUGAAUGCUCUUGACCCUGCCCACAAUGAUGGCUCUGUUGUCUUGGGGAGCGUUGAAGCUUGCUUCUUCUCCAGAGUUUUCUUGGUCAUCAAUACGACUUGUCCUUAAUAGAACCGAUCUUAUUCUAGGAAUUUCGUACUUUUGUCGGAUCCUUCCUAUCUCCUGAUCGAGCUUGUGUAGGUAGAUAUUGCCUGGUAGGGCCGAUAGUAGUAAAC